GAUGAACGCUGGCGGCGUGCCUAAUACAUGCAAGUCGAGCGAACAGACGAGGAGCUUGCUCCUCUGACGUUAGCGGCGGACGGGUGAGUAACACGUGGAUAACCUACCUAUAAGACUGGGAUAACUUCGGGAAACCGGAGCUAAUACCGGAUAAUAUAUUGAACCGCAUGGUUCAAUAGUGAAAGACGGUUUUGCUGUCACUUAUAGAUGGAUCCGCGCCGCAUUAGCUAGUUGGUAAGGUAACGGCUUACCAAGGCGACGAUGCGUAGCCGACCUGAGAGGGGGAUCGGCCAAACUGGAACUGAGAAGAGGUCCAGACUCCUACGGGAGGCAGCAGUAGGGAAUCUGCCGCAAUGGGCGAAAGCAUGACGGAGCAACGCAGCGUGAGUGAUGAAGGUCUUCGGAUCGUAAAACUCUGUUAUUAGGGAAGAACAAAUGUGAAAGUAACUAUGCACGUCUUGACGGUACCUAAUCAGAAAGCCACGGCUAACUACGUG
rnacentral:rRNA from 1 species